rnacentral:rRNA from 1 species
UACAUGGGGUGCAAACGUUGCUCGGAAUUAUUGGGCGUAAAGCGCGCGUAGGCGGUUACUCAAGUCGGAUGUGAAAGCCCUCGGCUUAACUGAGGAAGUGCACCCGAAACUGAGUAGCUAGAGUGCGAAAGAGGGUCGCGGAAUUCCCGGUGUAGAGGUGAAAUUCGUAGAUAUCGGGAGGAACACCCGUAGCGAAGGCGGCACUCUGGGCCGGAACGUGACGCUGAGGAGCGAAAAGCGUGGGGGAGCAA